CCUAAUACAUGCAAGUCGAACGCAUUGUGGUUGAAAUGAUAUGAAGAACUUGUUCAGAUUUGAUUUUACAACAUUGCAAUGAGUGGCGAACGGGUGAGUAACACGUGGGAAACCUACCUCUUAGCAGGGGAUAACAUUGGAAACAAAUGCUAAUACCGUAUAAUAAUUAAAACCGCAUGGUUUUAGUUUAAAAGAUGGUCUUGCUAUCACUAAGAGAUGGUCCCGCGGUGUAUUAGUUAGUUGGUGAGGUAAUGGCUCACCAAGACAAUGAUACAUAGCCGAGUUGAGAGACUGACCGGCCACAAUGGGACUGAGACACGGCCCAUACUCCUACGGGAGGCAGCAGUAGGGAAUCUUCCACAAUGGACGAAAGUCUGAUGGAGCAACGCCGCGUGUGUGAUGAAGGGUUUUCGGCUCGUAAAACACUGUUGUAAGAGAAGAAUGACAUUGGGAGUAACUGUUCAAUGUGUGACGGUAUCUUACCAGAAAGGAACGGCUAAAUACGUG
rnacentral:rRNA from 1 species